rnacentral:rRNA from 1 species
GGGGGGCUUCGACGAACUCCAACCCCAUGUGAACAUACCUGUUUCGUUCCCUCGGCGGUGUCCGGCAACGGCCCGCCAGAGGACCCAACAAACUCUUUUGAAUUUUUCAGUAUCUUCUGAGUGAAAAAAACAAUAAAUCAAAACUUUCAACAACGGAUCUCUUGGUUCUGGCAUCGAUGAAGAACGCAGCGAAAUGCGAUAAGUAAUGUGAAUUGCAGAAUUCAGUGAAUCAUCGAAUCUUUGAACGCACAUUGCGCCCGCCAGUAUUCUGGCGGGCAUGCCUGUUCGAGCGUCAUUUCAACCCUCAAGCUUAGCUUGGUGUUGGGGAUCGGCAAGGCGUCCUCCGGGUCGCGCCGUCCCCCAAAUUUAGUGGCGGUCUCGCUGUAGCUUCCUCUGCGUAGUAAUACACCUCGCUCUGGAGUCUCGGUGCGGCCACGCCGUAAAACCCCCAACUUUUUUCUGGUUGACCUCGAAUCAGGUAGGACUACCCGCUGAACUUAAGCAUAUCAAUAAGCGGAGGAA